UAGAGAAUAUUGCACAAUGGGGGAAACCCUGAUGCAGCGACGCCGCGUGAAGGAAGAAGUAUCUCGGUAUGUAAACUUCUAUCAGCAGGGAAGACAAUGACGGUACCUGACUAAGAAGCCCCGGCUAACUACGUGCCAGCAGCCGCGGUAAUACGUAGGGGGCGAGCGUUGUCCGGAAUUAUUGGGCGUAAAGGGCGCGUAGACGGCCGAGUAAGUUAUAGGUGAAAGCCCGGGGCUCAACCCCGGGACUGCUUUGGAAACUGUGGAUCUAGAGUGCCGGAGAGGUAAGCGGAAUUCCUAGUGUAGCGGUGAAAUGCGUAGAUAUUAGGAGGAACACCAGUGGCGAAGGCGGCUUACUGGACGGUAACUGACGUUGAGGCUCGAAAGCGUGGGGAGCAAACAGGAUUAGAUACCC
rnacentral:rRNA from 1 species